rnacentral:tRNA from 1 species
GUCAGGAUGGCCGAGCGGUCUAAGGCGCCAGACUCAGGUUCUGGUCUUCAAUGAAGGCGUGGGUUUAAAUCCCACUCCUGACA